rnacentral:rRNA from 1 species
CUACGGGGUGCAGCAGUGGGGAAUAUUGGACAAUGGGCGCAAGCCUGAUCCAGCAAUGCCGCGUGAGUGAAGACGGCCUUAGGGUUGUAAAACUCUUUCGCUAGGGAAGAUAAUGACUGUACCUAGCAAAGAAGUCCCGGCUAACUCCGUGCCAGCAGCCGCGGUAAUACGGAGGGGACUAGCGUUGUUCGGAAUUACUGGGCGUAAAGAGUUCGUAGGCGGACUGACAAGUUAGAGGUGAAAUCCCAGGGCUCAACCCUGGAACUGCCUUUAAAACUGUCAGUCUUGAGACCGGAAGAGGUUAGGGGAAUACCUAGUGUAGAGGUGAAAUUCGUAGAUAUUAGGUGGAACACCAGUGGCGAAGGCGCCUAACUGGUCCGGUACUGACGCUGAGGAACGAAAGCGUGGGGAGCAAACAGGAUUAGAUACCCUAGUAGUC